CUGUGUGCGUGCGGUGUGCAUGCCUCUACUAUCAACACAUCCGUGUUACAGGCCACCAGCAUGAAUACACGCCGGCGAAAAAGCCCUCUGCUCUCCCCCAGCACAACCCAGCAGAGAAGAAACCCAGCGGAAACGCAAAGACCACACGAGUGAGGGAAUAGGAGGGCAUUGGAGAGAGAGCACACUGUGGAGAGGAGGUUUGGAGAAAGAAAGAAAGAAAGAAAGAAAGAAAGGAAGAAAAGGAAAUUACACCAAGGAUUGAACACCCAAUGGCAAAUUAGGACUGGACUGGAGAACCCGAACGGCACUUGGACAAUACUUCUGUACAAAAACAACCCUCGGUAACAAACCCGGCCUGAAUCGACAAAAAGUGAAAGACCUCCACCUGUUGGCUGAUUGAUUAUUUUGUUUGUUUUGUUUACGUUUAUCAAGAACACUCCCAAAGCCCCUCAUCCUCUGCCAAAGCCUGUUAAAAAUAAACAGGUUUUAAACUUUACUUGUACUUGUGUAGUGUGGUUUUGUGUGUAAUCCCCGCCUUACAAAGAACCCA